AAAGGCGGGAAGGCUCUCGUCCCCGGCAUAGCCCAGUUUAGACACCGAGUAAAUGACUUCACACGGUCGGGCAGGCCAGGGUUUUCCCCCCGCUGCCGCUUUCGGUAACCCUCGCUUCCAGGAUUCCGCUGGAUUUUGUUCGGUGCUGCUGCCCCCUCGCGGCGCGCUUGUGGCGUUAACCCGGCCUUUUUAAUUGCUUUAGGCGCAUGCGCUUCUGUUCGCUAUAAAGGCGUGCAGAGGGCGUCGUCGUGUGGCGGAUCCGCACUUUUGCCUCUAAGGGACAAGGCAGGAAAGUCGUUGCCGCUGCUUUGCGUGGCCGUUGGACGCUCCUUAACGCUUGGGGAGAAGGUUACCCCACUCCACCCCUCCAGGGGAAAACCUAGGGGGAGCGUUUUUCUAUAAAUUAUUAUUGUUGAAAUUUAUUAAAUUUAUAUAAUGUGGAUAUAAAUGACUGUUAGCUGCAGCUUGCAAUUUACUGUCCAAUGCACAGCUGCCAGAGGAAGGCGGGGAACUGUAGCAACUUUACUGUCCUGCUCUGUUUUUCUGGUGACGGGGUGUGAGGAGAAGUUUCUUUUGGGGCGUCCAUUUCACAUCUUGUGUGAAGCUGUUUUAGGAGUUGGGAAAAGACUUGGUUCGUGGCUCUUAUUUCCCAUCGACUUAAGUGGGCCUUCCAUUUCCUCCUCAAAAUUGCGGUUAUUUGCUGCUGGAGAAGGUCUUCUUACUCAAGACAGCCCCCAUUGAAAAGUCGAGAACUUAAACUCUAAGGAAAGGUGCAGUCUUUCACAGGUCUGCUCAGAAGUAAAUUCCCAUUGUGUUUAAUGGGGAUUCAUUCCACAGAAGUACAUAGGACGGUAGGCUCAGCAACUCUCCCAUACAACCUCUGCCCCUCGCCAUUGGGAAAGAAACGCUGUUAUUAACGCUUACCUGGGUUGAAGGGAAAGGGCAGUUUCCACAUUUUGCAAUAAGCAGCAAAACAAUGCUUUUAAAGUAGGUUUUAACCGUGGCACCUGCUUCAGUGGAGACUUUCACUGUUUUAUUACUUUUUCUCCCUUAAAAUACAUUAAAUAUGGUUUAAUUUAUUUUCAUAUUACCUGCUUGGCAAAAAUAAAGCCAUUGAUUUAAAAUUUUCUUCAUAACUUUUUGACAGUGGUUAGAACCUGAAUAUUUGUGAAAGUGAUAGCUAUAUAUGUUUAGAUAGACACACCUCCCUCUGCCCUUUCUAAAUUAUGCUGCUCUUUGUAGUGGCACCAAAGAAUGUUAAUUUAUUUAUGUAGUCCAUAAAACUUUACACUGCUUGAUUGUAAUAAAAAAGCACAAAGAUAAAACAAGAAAAUUUUAAAAAAUCACAAUAGUAUUUUAAAAUAUACAAAAGUUUAUGUAGCUAGCGGUGAUUUAGUAGACAUGCCACAUGGAUUUGUAUAACUUUGAUUUAGCACCUACCUUCCCAGCCUCAAACUGAUAUGUGUUGUCUGAUGUUUAUGCUAACCCUUUUUUAUUUCUCCAGACAAUUUUUCAUGUGACUGAUAUGUUUGGUUUAGAAACUUUGAAAAAUUAAGUGAACAAAGAAGUUACUACGCAGCUGAAAAUCAGAUUUUACUCUAGCACAAAACACAGGCAUAGUUGGGUGUUUAUUCUCAUUGAUUUUUCAUUUCCUAUUUGUACAGGCACUUCACAAAAGAAAUGCAAAAGGCUUAGAGUAUCCAACAAUGCCAUAGAAAUAGACUGUAUCAUACACAUCUCAGGCAGCAUUUAUCACUUCAAAGCAAUUGCACUUCAUAUCCAUUUCAGGACUAGUGUAUGGGUUGUGGUUACACUAUGUUUGCACUAAGGGAGGCUAUGUCAAUAUGGUUAUAAAGUAGUCUCCUUUAAGUGGCUUGCUGAUUUGAACUUUAAGCACUUUAAGAGUAUGAGAGGAGUGCAGGGCAGUGUUAACCACACACCUGGCACUAGUUUUGUAAUUAUGUAAGCAAAAACGUUUUUGAGUGACACAGGCAGGUGGCAUGAAUGGAAUGAUUUGCUUCUGUGGCAAAGCUUGUCUGUCUUGCUAGCCUCUUAUGCUUCCUUUAAUACGUUGCUUGUACAUAGGUGCACUGUGUGUGCGUGUGUGCGUGUGUGUGUGUAUAGAUAGAUAGAUAGAAUAUCAUCUAUCUGCUAUAUACAUAAAGAUCCUUAGGUCUGUCUGACAGAUGUGUCAGAAUCAUUGAAGUAUUUCCAGGACACCCAGAAAUCUGAAAUUGGGAAAAGAUGCACACUAACACUUCUUAAAUAUUAAUAAGGUAUGAAAACAGGGUACUUUAAUUUAUCACUAUCAAAAUAGAAUAUGAAGUGUGAUGGCAACACAUUGCAAGCCAGGGUGCAAAUGAAGCAGUAUGUUGGGCCAGACUUAGGUAAGGUAAUAAUGGGUCAAGUCACAUUUCUGUGGGUGUUCACCAGUCCCUGUUUUAAUACUUCGAAGAAAAGGGUGACUUCGCUGGCAGCUGAUAGUGCAAGAGUAAUAGCCAGUUUGCCUUCCAGAAGAUACAGACUCCAACAGGCUUUGGAAUGUACAGCCCUCCAGAUGUUAGACUGCAACUCAAUGAUGUCAAGGGUCUGUGCCAUUUUUGGAGGAUCUCGGGGAAUUGGCCAUGCUGUUGCACAACUGCUAGCACAGAAAGGAUAUUGCCUGGCUAUUAUUGCCAGAAAUCUGGAUAGAGCUCAAACUACUGCAAAGAACUUGGGAGCAGGUCAUCUAGCAUUUAGAUGCGAUGUUUCCAAAGAAGAAGACAUCCAAAAUGUGUUUAAAGAAAUGGAGACAAGUUUAGGUCAAAUAAACUAUCUGGUUAAUGCUGCAGGUAUCAACAGGGAUGGCUUGUUGUUGCGAACCAAGGCUGAUGAUAUGUUAUCCCAGCUAAAGACCAAUCUUUUGGGGACAAUGUUGACAUGCAAAGCUGCUGUGAAGGGUAUGAUUCAGCAGCAAGGUGGAGCUAUUGUUAACGUAGGAAGUAUUGUUGGGCUGAAGGGCAAUUCUGGUCAGAGCGUAUACAGUGCCAGCAAAGCAGGAUUAGUUGGAUUUUCACGCUCUCUUGCUAAAGAAAUAGCAAGAAAGAACAUUCGAGUCAACAUGGUUGCUCCAGGCUUUAUUCACACAGAUAUGACAACACAAUUGAAAGAAGAGCAGUUGAAGAAAACUAUUCCCCUUGGACGAUUUGGGGAGCCUCAAGAAGUUGCCGAAGCUGUUGCAUUUCUUCUGGAGUCUCCGAUCAGCUCAGUAAUCAAAGGUGGAAGCAAGUUUACUUUCAUGUUUAGAAAAAUGGCAUAUUUACUGACAUCUGGAGUGAGCAUACAAACAGAUCUAUUUUUCACCUCUUGAGGAGGUGAUGGUACCAGUGGCCAUGAUCUUCGUUUUUUUGAUGUUGAGCUUCAAAUCAUAUUUUGCGCUCUCCUCUUUCACUCUCGACAGCAAUAAUCAUUUGUAUUUUACAAACAGUUCAAUGCAAGGUAAUUGUAUCUAACAAAAGAUGGCAAUAUUCAGAAACAAAUAGAGAACUAGGUUACACUUUCACUGAUCUUAAGGAAGCCAUAAGUAAACCAGAAAUUUCAGAGGGGGGCUGUAGCAGAAUUAGAAUUAAUCAAGAAGGUAAACUGUUCAUUUGGAUCUGAAUAGAGACCACCUUUUUCUUUCUCACUUCAGAAGUUAACCUGGCAUUGCCAAGCUGCUAUUACUACUAUUAUUGAUUACUUGCUCUUCACCCAGGGCAAGUUGCAAUAUUAAAACACAAUAUUAAAAAGUUUAAAACCAUUUAUUGAAUUAUUGGAAAUUGAAUAACAAUUGAAUAUGUCAAAUAAUACCUGAAUUAUUGCUAUCUACACUUCCUGCAUGUUAUUUCCCACUGACUCCAAAACUUAGUUCUUCUGUCCUCCUUACAGUCAUGUCUAUUUAUCUGAAACUGAGGAUUACAUUUCAUGUAUGUUAUGAAGUAGUAGACUCUAGUCCAUGAAAAAUUGUGCCAUAGUAAACAACUUUAGUUUUGGAAAUGUCACCAGAAUCUCUCUUGCUUAUAUAUUGUUGAAUCCAAGAGUACCUUGGUUGUGGAGAAAAGGCUUCACCUAUGUUGGCAGUAUCUUCUAAAACUCAGGAUGGUUUGGCCUUCCAGUGGUUGUGGCAGGACAGCUACAGGCCAUAGAACAUCAUUGUGUUUAGACAUGGGCCACAAACACUAAAGGUGCCUUUUCUUUUCCAUUAUGCCAUGCCGUGGUGCCAUGAUGUAGUUGUGCAAAAAUGAAAAUAAAAUCUGCUGAAGUAAAUAAGUGAAUUUAAAUGUAGUCAAUAAGCUGAUACUGAAUGACAAUUAUAAAUUGAUAUAAUUAUUAAAAAAUGCUUAGAGAUCCUACUAACUUUAACAGUAUUUGGAAUUUAUCAAAUUUAGAAAGCAGCUUUCCCACAUUGAGUGUCGUGCUUCACAUGCUCUUUAAUUGUGCCAGACUGACUAGGCCCUUCAAUAUCUGACAGCUGAAAAUAAAUGUCUAAUAAAUACUUCUGUGAGCAUUUGUUUAGCUGUCACAAUAAUAUUGUUUCCAGGAAAAUGAGUUAUUUGUUCAUGCUAAAUCUUGCUUGAAAUGUUUGCGCUCUGCUACUCCUACUGCUAUAAUAGUAAAUACCUCCUUCCACUCUGAAAAUUUACUAGAUUGUCACUGCAUCAUCAGAUGAAUUGAUGGACCCCGGCACAUUUUAAAGGUUGAUAAGUAGGCGUCUGUAUAAUAAUUUGGGAUAGAUAUAUUUAUGGAGUACUUUCUCCAUGACUCAGCAGGGCAGAGAUGAGUGUGAAAUGCCAUUACCUUUUCUAUUUCUUUUUCCAGUUUUCUUCUACUUCGCCAUCCCACAUGUUUUCCUCUAUUUGUACCACACAGGCUUUUCUGCAUUUGUUAAACCAUCAUGCUCUCAAUCUAAUAGUGUGCUGAAGUAUUUGUUUUUAUAGCAACAGCUUUUUAAAAAGGCAAGCAAGGCUGUUAUUUUAUAUUUGAGGCAUGAGUUACCUCUGCUGUGAUCAUGAAUGUAUUGAGCGAAUACAUCUGUUUUCUUCUACUGUUUGACAAGCAAAAUGUUCCUAUAAAUUAUUGGUUAGCUCUUAUGACACACCAGUAAUAAAAUUAACCACAAGGAGAAAUCAUUGUAAGGAGAAAACAUUCCAAUUCCCUCUGAAGUUACUCUGCUGUCAAAAGCUAUCUCAGUUUUGCUUACAAAACCAUAUUCAAGCCUGAAGGAAGCACGAUUCCUCUCAUUUCACCUACAUGGAGCAGGUAGGAUGCAUUUCAUUUUUUUACUUACUCCCAGGGCUGUUGUGGGUGAAUCAGUAUAAAGUUUUAUCAGUUCUUUUAAGCAACUAAUUUUAAACUUGAAUGCUGUUUUCUCCUAAACAACUUGCUUCUCUAGAGAUGCAAACUGAUGGUAGAAGAAAUAUGUGAGGUUUGCUCAUUUAGAACUUGAGAACAAGUUCUAGCUUGUUCUUAAUUCUUAAUAUUCAGCUACUUUAUGUCGUUUAGGCUGAUGUGUCAAGAUACCUAAUCUUUGAAUUGGGUCUAAUCUGUGCAGCUUCAUCCUAAACUUGAGCUGUAUCUGAAGAAGUGUGCAUGCACACGAAAGCUCAUACCAAGAACUAACUUAGUUGGUCUUUAAGGUGCUACUGGAAGGAAUUUUUUUUGUUUUGAGCUGUAGUAGUUAGUACUUCAGCCUGUGAGUUGUAUCCAGUAGUAGUUAUGUGCUAGUGGAAGAACUUCCUUAAGGCAGGGCCCCUAAAGUUUGCUGAUCCCUCCUAUCCAAAUCAGUGCAGCACCCUGUGCCUCCCUCCAAACGUCUCUGGAGCAACAUGGAACAUGCCAGAGAGCUGUGAGAGAGGUGAAAUGGAGUGCCUCAUCCUGUGCUGGUAGAAGUCCUUUCUCUUGCACAAAGCCACUAUUGGGGGCGAUUAGAGCAGGUCCAAUAGAGGCAUCCAAAGCCCUGCUUGUUUCAUUUGUACCAUAUUAGUUUCAAUUAUUGCAGCCUAAGGAUGUGGUCAAACCUGCUUGAAGAAGUGUAGCUAUCUUUGCUGGCUAUACUGUGGGCCUCAGAGGGUUAAGCUGGCCAGGGACUGGCUUCCUUUUUGUUUGAAUUUAUAAUUUUAUUCUAACAAGACUCCCACUCUGGUCCUGAGACAGGCUCUGCAUGUGGGUGAAAUGAAGACUGAAGGGUUUUUCACUGUAUUUGUCAGCGGUGGCAUAGUGUCUGCCUUGUUGGAUCUCAUGCAUUGUUUGGGGUUUCCUCUCCUUUCGUAGGCCCCGGAACCAAGCAAGCCCCUUUCCUCCCAACAUUCUACAUGUUAGAGGCAGAUGAUCACAAACGCAUCUUUCAGUUGCACAGAUCUUGGUGAACUUGGCAACAGGAUAUGGGAUUCACUCCAGGCAGUUCAGAUACUAGAUGCUUUCCCAACUGCGUGCAGCCAAUCCUGACCGCACAGAAAGCUGGUGCAGUGUGUUGUAAAAAAGAGGCAUCAGCUGAAAGCCCACGUGUCAAACUCAGACUGUCAGGAUUUUCAGAUGUAUCUCAAUUCAGAACUUCAAUAUUGGUUCAGGUAUCGACCAGGAGAAUUAUGGCCUUCACCUGGGCAUGUGAGUGAAGCAAUCUAAUAGUUGUGCUGAUAUAAUGCAAAACACGGUAGUAUGACAGCUUUGCAAGCAGACAUUUGUACAUUUCACAAGGAGGCAUCAGAAUGGGGCAUCCAACUACAUCUGGCCAUUUAUUUACUUAGGUUUUAAGCUUGCCCACUCCAAAUACGGUAGGAUAAAUUCAUAAAUCACAUUCCUUCCCAACCAGAUGCAAAAUUCUCAUAUUUCAUUUCACAGGUCAAGUAAUAUAAAGGGUGAAAAUCUGGUGGCAUCUGUUUGAUAGGCUAGCUAGAAAUAGGAGCACAAGUGUGGAUUACUUUUGGUGUGCUCCUGGAAUAUUUCUGUCCUUCCUGCUCGCUUUGUUACAACAAUGCAUGUCUACUCUUCAGCUAGUCUUACUUCCUGUAUCUGCUGGAGAAAGAAAUAAAACUGCCUUUAAAAAGCUGAACUGGAACCCAGCCUAUGCAGUUACGAAGUGGUCUGAUCAGGAAUCCAACUACAACACAAGUUUACAGGAGUCAACUCUCCACAAGUGGAAUAUGCCUAUUAGGCUCACCAUUUCGACCAACCCCAUGUAUUUGACAAAAAAGAAGAAGAAGUACAUGAUGAUCGUAAAAUCCAGUUGAAUAUGACCUAUAGAUGUU